AACUGAGUGUGUUAUUGGUAUGAGCUUUCGUGUGCAUGCACACUUCUCCAGAUACACACAUAGUCUGCAUGCACACAAAAGCUCAUACCAAUAACAAACUUAGUUGG